GCUUUUAAAGGAAAAUAGUUCAUCCGUUGGUCUUAGGAACCAAUAACUCUUGGUGCAAAUCCAAGUAAAAGCU
rnacentral:tRNA from 1 species